rnacentral:rRNA from 1 species
UACGGAGGGAGCUAGCGUUGUUCGGAAUUACUGGGCGUAAAGCGCGCGUAGGCGGCUAUUCAAGUCAGAGGUGAAAGCCCGGGGCUCAACCCCGGAAUAGCCUUUGAAACUAGAUAGCUAGAAUCUGGGAGAGGUGAGUGGAAUUCCGAGUGUAGAGGUGAAAUUCGUAGAUAUUCGGAAGAACACCAGUGGCGAAGGCGGCUCACUGGACCAGAAUUGACGCUGAGGUGCGAAAGCGUGGGGAGCAAACAGGAUUAGAAACCCCCGUAGUCC